UAUGGUUUAUUAGAUCGUGCGUUCUACGUGGAUAACUGUGGUAAUUCUAGAGCUAAUACAUGCAACUGGCCCUAACUUUACGGAGGGGCGCUUUUAUUAGAUCAAAAUCAAUCAGGUUUCGGCCUGUUUUUGUGAUGACUCUGGAUAACUUUGUGCCGACCGCAUGGCCUUGCGCCGGCGGCGUAUCUUUCAAAUGUCUGCCCUAUCAACUUUCGAUGGUAGGUGACAUGCCUACCAUGGUUGUAACGGGUAACGGAGAAUCAGGGUUCGAUUCCGGAGAGGGAGCCUGAGAAACGGCUACCACA
rnacentral:rRNA from 1 species